UCUCAGAUCUGAAUUCCUCAAUUCUCUUAUACCGCUCAUCUUCGUCACCGAUCAUCUUCUCUAUUAUUGUUUUUCUUUUGUCUUAAUUAAGUUUCCUGAAAUCGUUUUCAGUAACUCAAAUUCAAAUAUCAAAGCAGCAGCGAAGGAAUUGGGUUGCUAUUGUUUUGCUAUUUUUCUCUUCGGUUGAUAAAUUUUUCUCCUACCAUCAAGGUAUGGCAGGGGAGAAGUUGGAUGAAAAUAUUCCUUGCGAGGAAAAUGGGACUGUAGAAUCUUCGAAUGGCAAUGGUAAUGGAGAAGCCGCUCAACAAUCUCCAACUGUUCAGAAAGAUGAGGAUGAAGACAAAGGUUAUAUUUUCAUAUUCAAUACCACUGCCAUGCAACUCUUAUUUCCUCUUUUUCUCUGUAACUUAGACUGAUGGAUCACUAGGAGAGUGCAGGUGGACCUUUGUGAAAUCAUAGAAACGUAAAGGAUGGGCUAAAUGAUACUAGUUGUACUAGGAUGUUAAUAGUCAAACUCGGCAAUGUAUCCUGCCUCAGAUAGCAACUUUUCUGAUUGGGUUUGAUAAUCAAGUAACUUGAGUACAUCCUAAUAAGCUAUCAGUUUAAUGAGCAGGAAUACCGCUGGUUUUGUGUACUUGAGAGAUUUGAGAACACAUAAGCUGCAAUAAAUGCUCGACAAGUUCUCCAUGGAAGAUGGUUUGCUGGAAGAUGAUCACAGCGACUUUCAUGUUGCCUCAUAUCUGUGAGACUAAAUUCCCUGAGAGCCGAUAGGAUUAUGCACAUUAGGAAUGUGAAGAAGGCAGCUGGUAUGCCUGUUAGGUCCAAUUUCCAGAUGAUGGAGUAUUUAAUUGUCCUCGUGGCUUUGUGUAACAAGAAAGAAUGUAAUGUUGAGAUGAGAAAGUUGCAUGUACAUCACUUGGAAUUUUUCAGUCAAUGCAACGUGAAAUUA